rnacentral:rRNA from 1 species
AUUGAACGCUGGCGGAAUGCUUUACACAUGCAAGUCGAACGGUAGAGGGGCAACCCUUGAGAGUGGCGAACGGGUGAGUAAUGUAUCGGAACAUGCCCAGUCGUGGGGGAUAACGUAGCGAAAGUUACGCUAAUACCGCAUACGAUCUAUGGAUGAAAGCGGGGGAUCGCAAGACCUCGCGCGAUUGGAGUGGCCGAUAUGAGAUUAGGUAGUUGGUGGGGUAAAGGCCUACCAAGCCGACGAUCUGUAGCUGGUCUGCGAGGACGACCAGCCACACUGGGACUGAGACACGGCCCAGACUCCUACGGGAGGCAGCAGUGGGGAAUUUUGGACAAUGGGCGAAAGCCUGAUCCAGCCAUUCCGCGUGCAGGAAGAAGGCCUUCGGGUUGUAAACUGCUUUUGUACGGAACGAAACGCGCUGUGCUAAUACCACGGCGUAAUGACGGUACCGUAAGAAUAAGCACCGGCUAACUACGUGCCAGCCGCCGCCGUAA